GGGGGCAGGGGGGGGGCGGCUGCCCCCCUUGCCUUUUUCUAGGGGGGCAGGGGGGGCAGAAGUGCCCUUUUAGUUGUAAAAUAAUACGUGAUAAAUCACAUUUCCAACCAUGCUUUUUGUAGGAAAAUCACGAGAUUCAGGUAAUUUAUAGUUUAUAUUUAUAAAAAUUUUUGGAAAUUUUUGGAAUUUAGAAAAAUAUUUUGAAGAAAUGGCGAAAAUUUAAGAUAUCCGGAAAAAUUUCUGGCUUCACGGAAAAUUUUUG